GGACUUGUAGCUCAGAGGAAGAGCAAUUGGCUCAUAACCGAUAGGUCGAGAUGUCAGAAUUCUCCAAGUCCA
rnacentral:tRNA from 1 species